GAGUACGGUCGCAAGAUUAAACUCAAGGAAUGACGGGGCCUGCACAAGCGGUGGAGCAUGUGGUUAAUUCGAAGCAACGCGCAGAACCUUACCAGCGUUUGACACCCCGCGCUACUUCCAGAGAUGGAAGGUUCCCUUCGGGACGCGGUGACAGGUGCUGCAUGGCUGUCGUCAGCUCGUGUCGUGAGAUGUUGGGUUAAGUCCCGCAACGAGCGCAACCCUCGUCCUUAGUUGCCAUCAUUCAGUGGGCCAUCUUAAGAAACCGCCCGGUGAUAGCCCGGAGAAAGUGGGGGUUGACGUCAAUUCCUCUUGGCCUUUCCACCCUGGGCUCCACACGGGUUCCAAGGGCGGUGACAGUGGGCAGCAACCACGGGAGUGUGAGUUAUUUCCCAAAAGCCGUCUCAGUUCGGAUUGUUUUCUGCAACUCAAGAGCAUGAAGGCGGAAUCGCUAGUAAUCGCGGAUCAGCAUGCCGCGGUGAAUACGUUCCCAGGCCUUGUAA
rnacentral:rRNA from 1 species